GGAAUUUGUUGAAAUAAGAGAACAGGGUGCUUCACAUUAUUUAAACUGGCGUUACAUUGAAUCUAAUUUAAACAUACAAAGGUUUUAAAUCUUCAUAUUCAACUUACAAACAAAUAGUGCCUGAUCACAAAAUAUAUAUUGACCAUGUAAAAUUCAGCAAAUGCAACAAAUCACAUGAUAAAAAUAGAUUUGCAAAUGAUCUUUUAGCUUCAUUGGUGGAAGGCAAUAGUUAUUUGAGCAGUGUCAGUUUAUCUGGCAAGUAAAGUCACAACAAAGUUGCAAAACCCAGAAUUUGUUAAUACCUUGUCAAUGGUGUAAUUGCUAGUUCAUGUGAGAUACUAGAAGUGUCGCCGAAGGAUGAGCGAACAACAAUCAAGCUUAAAUUAAACAUUGCAUCAAAAGUUAAAAAGAUUUUAUAAAUGUA